GCACCUCUCAGCUCAGUUGGUUAGAGCAUGGUGCUGAUAACACCAAGGUUGCAGGUUCAAUUCCUGUCUUGGUACA